GACCUAGUAAAUAUGCGUUCACCACAAACGAAUUACGAUUUUUUCCUUUGAAUACUAAUCCCCGAAGUUCCAGUUGGUUGUUUAUAUUUCAUUUGUUUGUACGGACUACAUAGAUAUGCACUAAUUUCCCCCUACUUGUUGAUUUGCAGAACAUGAUUACUGGAGCUCCUCGAAAGCUUAGAAGUAUUGAACAUCAUUUCAUAGUCUUGCCAAGCAUUUUAAUCCGUUUAGCAGGAUAUAUAUGCCGAGUAAUGCAAACUUUUGGGUUGGAGAAAGUUGGAAUAAGCGAAUAGUUAUAUGGGGUCAUUUAUUUUUAUUUUGUACUUUUCGGAUUGAAAGAUCACACCUUAUGUACUAGAGCAUAUUUUAAUUUUAAUUUAUCAAUGUAUACUUCUUUAUUCAGUAAUGGAUGUUUUUAUUUU